GAGUGGCGGACGGGUGAGUAACACGUGGGUAACCUGCCCUAAAGUGGGGGAUAACAUUUGGAAACAGAUGCUAAUACCGCAUAAAACCUAACACCGCAUGGUGUAGGGUUGAAAGAUGGUUUCGGCUAUCACUUUAGGAUGGACCCGCGGUGCAUUAGUUAGUUGGUGAGGUAAAGGCUCACCAAGACCGUGAUGCAUAGCCGACCUGAGAGGGUAAUCGGCCACACUGGGACUGAGACACGGCCCAGACUCCUACGGGAGGCAGCAGUAGGGAAUCUUCCACAAUGGACGAAAGUCUGAUGGAGCAACGCCGCGUGAGUGAAGAAGGUUUUCGGAUCGUAAAACUCUGUUGUUGGAGAAGAAUGUAUCUGAUAGUAACUGAUCAGGUAGUGACGGUAUCCAACCAGAAAGCCACGGCUAACUACGUGCCAGCAGCCGCGGUAAUACGUAGGUGGCAAGCGUUGUCCGGAUUUAUUGGGCGUAAAGCGAGCGCAGGCGGUUUCUUAAGUCUGAUGUGAAAGCCUUCGGCUCAACCGAAGAAGUGCAUCGGAAACUGGGAAACUUGAGUGCAGAAGAGGACAGUGGAACUCCAUGUGUAGCGGUGAAAUGCGUAGAUAUAUGGAAGAACACCAGUGGCGAAGGCGGCUGUCUGGUCUGUAACUGACGCUGAGGCUCGAAAGCAUGGGUAGCAAACAGGAUUAGAUACCCUGGUAGUCCAUGCCGUAAACGAUGAGUGCUAGGUGUUGGAGGGUUUCCGCCCUUCAGUGCCGCAGCUAACGCAUUAAGCACUCCGCCUGGGGAGUACGACCGCAAGGUUGAAACUCAAAGGAAUUGACGGGGGCCCGCACAAGCGGUGGGAGCAUGUGGUUUAAUUCGAAGCAACGCGAAGAACCUUACCAGGUCUUGACAUCCUUUGACCACUCUAGAGAUAGAGCUUUCCCUUCGGGGACAAAGUGACAGGUGGUGCAUGGUUGUCGUCAGCUCGUGUCGUGAGAUGUUGGGUUAAGUCCCGCAACGAGCGCAACCCUUAUUACUAGUUGCCAGCAUUUAGUUGGGCACUCUAGUGAGACUGCCGGUGACAAACCGGAGGAAGGUGGGGACGACGUCAAAUCAUCAUGCCCCUUAUGACCUGGGCUACACACGUGCUACAAUGGAUGGUACAACGAGUUGCGAGACCGCGAGGUUUAGCUAAUCUCUUAAAACCAUUCUCAGUUCGGAUUGUAGGCUGCAACUCGCCUACAUGAAGCCGGAAUCGCUAGUAAUCGCGGAUCAGCAUGCCGCGGUGAAUACGUUCCCGGGCCUUGUACACACCGCCCGUCACACCAUGAGAGUUUGUAACACCCAAAGCCGGUGAGGUAACCCUUCGGGGAGCCAGCCGUCUAAGG
rnacentral:rRNA from 1 species